GUCGUGAAAAUUAUGAGCAGAGAACUACAAAUGGGCAGUUCAGGAUUUGUCCUAGGGGUGCACACGGACCCGACUAAACCGCCAAAACCGCCCGACCCGAUCAAGAACACCGAACCCGAAGUACAAAAUGUCCUUGAACGGUAAGUGUAUUCUAAACCCGAGCUAUCUACGGCGCCACUCGGUUGUAUGUUGUUACCGACCGACCUCACCCUAAACCGACCGAUCAAAAAGAUCUAUGGUUAAUAAAACCCUAUACCUCCAUAUAAAUACUUCUCUUAAUACUCUCGUCCAGCCACCAACCCUACAUCUCAUUUAUUCUUCUUUAUUCUCCCAUUUCUCUCGAGAGCAAAACUAGGGUUGCCGAAGAGGCGACUCCAUUUUCUUCUCAUCUUCAACCUUUUAUCUUCUUUACUAACUCCAACGCUCACCUAGCUACAUCACGGUCAUCAUCUCCAGUUGCUGCUGAUAUUUGUUGAUAAUCAGAUGGAGUCUACAGGUGCUGCUUGGAAGAACCUCUAGAAUAUCUAUCAUUUUGGAAUUUACAUGUUGAAGAAUAAAACCUUAGUCUGCUAGCUAUCAUUUGUUUAUUCGUUCAUUCUUUAUUCAUUCAUUUUUUUCUUACAGAAGUAUCAAAACAGUCUAGUAACUCUAGUUUGCUUCAAGUUGCUUUCAAUUUGCUUGGAUUAUUAUCAGUUUAUUUAGAGAUUUUUCAUUCUGCUUAAAGAUUAUUAUCAGUUUGAUUGUUGAAUUUAUUAUUAUUCUUAGCAAA